AUGCAGUCGUACGAGAGUUUUUAACUCUAGUGGCGGACGGGUGAGUAACACGUGAGAAUUUACCUUUAGGAGGGGGAUAACAGCGUAUCAAUAGAUAUUACGGAAACGGCUGCUAAUACCCCAUAUGCUUUUGAGUGAAAUAGAUUUAUCUGCCUAAAGAGAAGCUCGCGGCUGAUUAGCUUGUUGGUAAGGUAAUGGCUUACCAAGGCGACGAUCAGUAUCUGGUUUGAGAGGACGAUCAGACACACUGGAACUGAGACACGGUCCAGACUCCUACGGGAGGCAGCAGUGGGGAAUUUUCCGCAAUGGGCGAAAGCCUGACGGAGCAAUACCGCGUGAGGGAAGACGGCCUAUGGGUUGUAAACCUCUUUUUUUCAGGGAGGAAUUCAAUGACGUGUACCUGAGGAAUAAGCAUCGGCUAACUCCGUGCCAGCAGCCGCGGUAAUACG
rnacentral:rRNA from 1 species